rnacentral:rRNA from 1 species
GACGAACGCUGGCGGCGUGCUUAACACAUGCAAGUCGAACGGAAAGGCCCUGCUUUUGUGGGGUGCUCGAGUGGCGAACGGGUGAGUAACACGUGAGUAACCUGCCCUUGACUUUGGGAUAACUUCAGGAAACUGGGGCUCAUACCGGAUAGGAGCUCCUGCUGCAUGGUGGGGGUUGGAAAGUUUCGGCGGUUGGGGAUGGACUCGCGGCUUAUCAGCUUGUUGGUGGGGUAGUGGCUUACCAAGGCUUUGACGGGUAGCCGGCCUGAGAGGGUGACCGGCCACAUUGGGACUGAGAUACGGCCCAGACUCCUACGGGAGGCAGCAGUGGGGAAUAUUGCACAAUGGGCGGAAGCCUGAUGCAGCAACGCCGCGUGCGGGAUGACGGCCUUCGGGUUGUAAACCGCUUUCGCAUGUGACGAAGCGUGAGUGACGGUAAUGGGUAAAGAAGCACCGGCUAACUACGUG